UGGGGAAUAUUGGACAAUGGGGGCAACCCUGAUCCAGCCAUGCCGCGUGAGUGAUGAAGGCCCUAGGGUUGUAAAGCUCUUUCAACGGUGAAGAUAAUGACGGUAACCGUAGAAGAAGCCCCGGCUAACUUCGUGCCAGCAGCCGCGGUAAUACGAAGGGGGCUAGCGUUGUUCGGAAUUACUGGGCGUAAAGCGCACGUAGGCGGAUCGUUAAGUGAGGGGUGAAAUCCCGGGGCUCAACCCCGGAACUGCCUUUCAUACUGGCGGUCUUGAGUUCGAGAGAGGUGAGUGGAAUUCCGAGUGUAGAGGUGAAAUUCGUAGAUAUUCGGAGGAACACCAGUGGCGAAGGCGGCUCACUGGCUCGAUACUGACGCUGAGGUGCGAAAGCGUGGGGAGCAAACAGGAUUAGAUACCCCCGUAGUCC
rnacentral:rRNA from 1 species